UAAUACGGAGGGUGCAAGCGUUAUCCGGAUUCACUGGGUUUAAAGGGUGUGUAGGCGGAUCUUUAAGUCAGUGGUGAAAUCUCCAGGCUCAACCUGGAAACUGCCAUUGAUACUAUUGGUCUUGAAUUCUGUUGAGGUGGGCGGAAUACAUCAUGUAGCGGUGAAAUGCUUAGAUAUGAUGUAGAACACCGAUUGCGAAGGCAGCUCACUAAGCAGCGAUUGACGCUGAGGCACGAAAGCGUGGGGAUCAAACAGGAUUAGAUACCCUGGUAGUCCACGCCCUAAACGAUGAUUACUCGACGUUGGCGAUACACCGAUCAGCGUCUGAGCGAAAGCAUUAAGUAAUCCACCUGGGAAGUACGUUCGCAAGAAUG
rnacentral:rRNA from 1 species